GCUGGCACUCUCACUCUCGCUCCCAAUAAUACUCGUUGGUCAACCUCUCUCAUAACCCCUCCACCGGUGCUCCUUGCGUUGGCACUCCUUCCAUGUCCCUCCAUGAUACAACACCCGUCACGUUGUCGUCUCCCUCUUUGAAGUCGUUGUGUUGCCGUCUCCCUCUCCCUCACUCGUCGCACCUCCAUUUCCCUCUCUCAACCUUCCUCCUCGCCACUAUUGUCAGUGCCAACUGUCAGCCACAUCCGUGGCAUUGAUGGCACGGUAUAGGUUUUACAGAGCUUCUAAAUAUUAAAAGAGGCUUAAGGUAGGAGCAAUAGUCGCACAAUGAAGAUGGAGGGGGAAGAUGGCCAGGAGAGAACUCAGGAAACUGAAGAUGGCUACAAGGAAAAUUGGUGCACUUCAAGAAGCAAAGGACAAACUUGAAGAAAAGGGUGGAAGAACUCACCUAGCAUCUCCAACUAGGAAAAAGUUUACGGACUUCCCUUGAGAUGAAAAAAUAGAAAGCUGAUUAAUUUGAAAAGAAAUAUAAUGAAAUCCAAGCUCCAAAUUAGAAGACACGGAGAAGAAGUUUCGUCAGCUCUAAGAAUCACUAUACAGGAGAUGCAUAGUCCAUCAAUGAACCAUAGAGAAUCCUCUGAAAUAGAGGAUAAGCCACAAAAGUCAUUGAAUGAGAAACAGCUAGAGAAUCAAGAGUUGCUCAUUAGAUGCAUUGCACAACAUUUUAGGCUUUGCUGGAAAUAGACCAAUUGCAGCCUGUAUUAUAUACAAAUCCCUAUUGCAUUGGAGAUCGUUUGAAGUUGAGCGUACCAGUGUUCUUUAUUGCAUCAUCCAAACUAUUGGGCAUGGAAUUGAGACACAAGAGAACAAUGAUGUCUUGGCUUAUUGGUUAUCCAAUGCUUCUACGCUUCUUGUUACUCUAGCGCACCCUUAAAGCGAGAGGUGCAGUUGGAAUGGCUCCUCAACGCCGUCGUUCUUCAUCAGCAGCCCUAUUUGGAAGGAUGACACAAGACCAUUAGGAAACUAAAGAGUUUAAAGGUGCUCUGGAAAGGGAAAUCUUGAAGGUUAAGGUAUAAUCUCCCUUUAAAGUGUUUCACGAGAGAAAACUUGAGUGUUUAGUAAAGAUAUCUUAGAUUUCUUGCCAUAGUGGCACUUAUAUUCAAUACUAAGAAGAGAAGACGUGAUUACUGCAGUUUGACUUGAGAAAUAGCUAAUAGUUGUUUGGACUACUAGUGAUCAAGGAGCAACAUCUUUGAAAUUAGUUGUUUUGCACUUGUGCAGUUUGCAUAUUAGUUUUCUUUUUUGUAUUAAAACUAUUGAUAUAAUUACGUUGACUUUCACAUCAUUAAAAUUUAUGUUAUUUUUCUACUCUGAAGUAACAAUAUAUGCCAAUACAGGGCAUACUUUCUGGUGCCAGUGAACAUUACCAGGCAAGGAUGGAAGUGUGAUAACCUUUUCAUCUUUCAGUCUCUAUUUUCUAGCUUAGCAAUUGCAUUGUCUGUUGAUUUUAAUAUGAACAUGUUGCUACUGUUUAUAGUGUUGUUUGAUACCCUAUGGUACUUUCAUCCUAACCCACAAAUGCUGAUGAACUAACCUAUAUAUUUUGUUGUAUGAAUUUUCUUCCUGAAUUAUUUUUUAGGCGUUGACUCAUUUUAUGAGUAUCUACUUAAAGCUCGUAUCUUUUUUGGGAAGGAGGACUUUUUGGACAAUUUUUCAUUCUGCUUAUGUUGUUGUGCAUAAAUAUUUCAGACAUGGUCCUUAAGUUGUUUGGCUGCGACAUGAAAAUUGAACAUUAUUUUUUAUUUUUUUAUUUUUUUGAGUGGUUAAUUGUACUAACAAUCUUUAUGAUUUUAAAUUAUGUUGAUUAUUAAUUUGGAAGAUAA